UUGCACGCUGGCGGCAGGCCUCACCCAUGCAAGUCGAGCGGAUGAAGGGAGCUUGCUCCUGGAUUCAGCGGCGGACGGGUGAGUAAUGCCUAGGAAUCUGCCUGGUAGUGGGGGAUAACGUCCGGAAACGGGCGCUAAUACCGCAUACGUCCUGAGGGAGAAAGUGGGGGAUCUUCGGACCUCACGCUACCAGAUGAGCCUAGGUCGGAUUAGCUAGUUGGUGGGGUAAAGGCCUACCAAGGCGACGAUCCGUAACUGGUCUGAGAGGAUGAUCAGUCACACUGGAACUGAGACACGGUCCAGACUCCUACGGGAGGCAGCAGUGGGGAAUAUUGGACAAUGGGCGAAAGCCUGAUCCAGCCAUGCCGCGUGUGUGAAGAAGGUCUUCGGAUUGUAAAGCACUUUAAGUUGGGAGGAAGGGCAGUAAGUUAAUACCUUGCUGUUUUGACGUUACCAACAGAAUAAGCACCGGCUAACUUCGUG
rnacentral:rRNA from 1 species